GAUGAACGCUAGCUACAGGCUUAACACAUGCAAGUCGAGGGGCAGCAUGAACUUAGCUUGCUAAGUUUGAUGGCGACCGGCGCACGGGUGAGUAACACGUAUCCAACCUGCCGAUGACUCGGGGAUAGCCUUUCGAAAGAAAGAUUAAUACCCGAUGGCAUAGUUCUUCCGCAUGGUAGAACUAUUAAAGAAUUUCGGUCAUCGAUGGGGAUGCGUUCCAUUAGGUUGUUGGCGGGGUAACGGCCCACCAAGCCUUCGAUGGAUAGGGGUUCUGAGAGGAAGGUCCCCCACAUUGGAACUGAGACACGGUCCAAACUCCUACGGGAGGCAGCAGUGAGGAAUAUUGGGCAAUGGACGAGAGUCUGAACCAGCCAAGUAGCGUGAAGGAUGACUGCCCUAUGGGUUGUAAACUUCUUUUAUACGGGAAUAAAGUGGGGCACGUGUGCCUUUUUGUAUGUACCGUAUGAAUAAGGAUCGGCUAACUCCGU
rnacentral:rRNA from 1 species